GGCUGGGGCGCCGCCGGCGCGCAUGCUCCCGCCGCACCUGCUCCCGCGGGUGCGCCCCGAAGCGCGGCAGACUCCGGGUCCGGUCUCAAGUGCGCGGCGGUGGAGGGGCGGCUGCAGUUUACUCCCGGGGAUGUCUCUAGCAGGAGCCCCGAAACCUCGCUCCCGCCAGCCUGCCCCGCCCCCUGCGCCGCGUCGAGGAGCGCUCACCCCGGCUUCACUCCUGCUCUCGGGGUUCACCUGCCUCCUCUGGAGUCCUCUUCGUCCCGCGACUCCUCUCAAUUUUGCGACCUCCUCUCCUCAAGGUGCCUCUUUGCAGCUCUAGACUUUGCUCCACGCGCGUCCGCAGAAGCCAUUUCAAAAUGAAAGAAGACUGUUUUCACCUGGACCCAACAAAUGUUCAGGAAGCCUGUUCCAGCUGCUGGAGACGAAGAAGGAAAGUGAAGGUACUAAUGGCAUACCCAUGCCGUCUCCAAGGUGAGAGACAGAGAAAAUGCAAAAGAGAAAAUUCAGAGAAAUGUGACUGCCAUUCAUCUCUGAUAUUUGGGACCCAGAAACUCCAGGGUUCAGCCCCAGCAUCUCACUGUGUACUUGUGUGUUUCCAGAGCAUGGAAAUGACUGCCUUAUCACGUUAAUUUGUUUCAGUGGCUUCAUUUGGACCAGGAUGGGUCCUUCAAAAAUGAACUCAGUGAUUUUCCAAGGUCCCAUUUCUCAUUGGACUUUACUUCCCUCUCAGCACCUUGCACAGUUCUUUGCACAGAAGAAGUGCUCAAAAAACAUUGCUGAAAUUAAAAUCACUUCAUCAUGUGCAAGGGGAGGCCAAGUGAAUGCUCAUCACGAAAGUCAUUCAAUACAAGCUUGACCACGAUGAGUGUUGGGCCUUCUGCAUUGAGGAUCCCAAGAUUUAUCCCUGUUUAUGGGUGUGGAGUGGCUGGGACCAAGGGUAGGCAUGUUAAAACCAUUGCCAGAACAGACCAUUACCAGCUGCUCAAGAAACACUGGAAGGUGACAAGGCUGAUAUGAGAAGAGUUGCCAUGUCUGCAGUUCAACCCUAAGAAGCUAUUUAUUAUUUCUUAUCCAUGUUUCCAUUAUCAUGUCUUUUGAUUUUUCUUUCUCCCUCUGCCUUCACUUAUCAUUGUCACAUUGAAAUAUGUGCAAGUGGGGAGUUCCCGUCAUGGCUCAGUGGUUAACAAAUCCAACUAGGAACCAUGAGGUUGCGGGUUCGAUCCCUGGCCUUGCUCAGUGGGUUAAGGAUCCAGUGUUGCCAUGAGCUGUGGUGUAGGUUGCAGACGCGGCUUGGAUCCUGCGUUGCUGUGGCUCUGGCAUAGGCCAGUGGCUACAGCUCCAAUUAGACCCCUAGCCUGCGAACCUCCACAUGCCGUGGGAGCGGCCCUAGAAAAGGCAAAAAAGAUUUUAAAAAAAGAAGAAAAAGAAAAAAGAAAUGUGUACAGGUAACCAGCCUCUUUGUCUGGGGUUAUAGACUUACUCUAAUCACCAUCCCAUUUCCCAAGCUAAAUAUUUUUUUGUAUUUUUUAAAUAUAUUUUUUUAUUUUUAAAUCAACCCUUUUUGUAUAGUCAAUUUACAGUGUUGUGUUAAUUUCUGCUGCACAAGCAAAAAGAUUCAGAUUAUAUAUACACACACACACACAUACGCAUGUGUGUGUUAUCUAGAUCUAUAUCUAUAUAUACACACUUUUUUUUUCUUUUUAUAUUCUUUUCCAUUGUGGUUUAUCGUAGGACAUUGAAUAUGGUUCUCUGCUCUGUGCUGGACAGUAGGACCUUGUCCCAAGCUAAUUUAACUUCCCCUCCUGCCCACCUUUUAUAUCUUUUUCCAUUAGUUUUGUCUCUGUUUAGUGCCAGCUCUUUGGACUCUGGCACAUAGAGUGACCCAGAGAGGCUCUUAAAUAGCUGUCUAGACACACAACUUGAUAGCCUCCAUCUUAAAAAAAAAUAAUACCUCUGAAUCUUACAUUGCCCUUCUGAAUCUUAGAUGACCUUACCACGUGUUCCAACUUAGCACAUCAAUCUUAAGACUCGUGCUGGCUUUUAUGAUAGAGUUCCAGUCCUGGGGCCAAUCUCGGCCCUCUGCUCUCAUCUUUCCACCACAAGCUUUAAUUUAAGCCUGAAAAUGAACUACCACCAAGAUAAAUGAAUAGCAAACAUGAAUCAAAAGGGGGGACUUUGACUUUGUCACUAACGGUCUUAAUAAUCACACUAAUUUGUCACGUGUACAGGUGCCCAUAGGCAAAGCAUCGUGCAAAGCAUCAUGAUUUGUGUUUCUUGAAUUGCUUCAUUGUCUCCUCAGCGGGCAAAUAAGUUCUUAUGCUCCACGUAUAUUUUACUACUUAUACUAUAUUCCAAGAAUAUUUUCAAAAUUUGAGGCAAUAAUCUUCUUAGUUAGAGGCUUUGGUCAACAUUUAUCCAGGUCUUUCUUUUUUAUUGUUGUUACAUUCCAUAGUAAACUAUGAGGAAAAAUUUUAAAUAGCAGAGUAUGCAAAUUAUAGUUGUACAAUACUGACCUUUUUUUUUUUUUUUUUGGUCAUACUGUCUAUGCCCCUGUAGUGUUUUUUCUAAGUGUUUCAUUUGGUCUUAAUAUCAUCUCUCACCCCCUGAAUAAUUAGUAUCAUUUAUUAUUUUAUUUUAUUUUAUUUUAUUUUAUUUUAUUUUUAUUUUUUAGCUGCACCCAAGGCAUAGAAGUUCAUGGGCCAGGGGUCGAAGCCAUGCCACAGCAGUGACCUGAGCCACUGCAGUGAUAACACUAGAUCCUUAACCACUAGGCCACAAGGGAACUCCAUUUUUCUUAUUUUAUAAAAAAAAAUGAUAAUCAUUUCUAUGGUUCUCAUUUGUUUUCUAUGUUUUGUUAUUGAUUAUCACUGUUUUCUGACAAUCUGGCCUUCAGGAUAUCCUACCUUAAAUAACCAGAUAUCUGACAGGAAAACAUUUUAGUGGCAAUUUGUUCAUAGAUCCUCAAAUAAAGAUAUGAUAAAGCAAAA
rnacentral:lncRNA from 1 species